AAAAGUAAGCAAGGGCAGACGGUGGAUGCCUAGGCUCUCGGAGGCGAAGAAGGACGUGAUAAGCUGCGAAAAGCUGCGGGAAUCGGCACAUACGAAUUGAUCCGCAGAUAUCCGAAUGGGGCAACCCGUCAGGCCUUGGCCUGACACAUGAAUUGAUUUCAUGAGCGAACGCGGGGAACUGAAACAUCUCAUUACCCGUAGGAGAAGAAAACAAAAGUGAUUCCCUCAGUAGUGGCGAGCGAACGGGGAUUAGCCCAAACCGGCUUUGUUUCGGCAAAGUCGGGGUAAUAGGACUUCGACAAAAGUUUAAUGGUUAGAUAUAGGAGAACCUACUGGAAAGUAUGGCCGAAGAGCAUGAAAGCUGCGUAUCCGACAUAUCGAACAAUAGACGACGGAGCACCUGAGUAGCGCGGGACACGAGACAUCCUGUGUGAAUUGGCGGGGCCCAUCCCGUAAGGCUAAAUACUCCCGAGAGACCGAUAGUGAACCAGUACCGUGAGGGAAAGGUGAAAAGAACCUCGAACAGAGGAGUGCAAUAGACCCUGAACCCGUCUGCCUACAAGCGGUAGGAGCGCCAUUAAGGUGUGACUGCGUGCCUUUUGCAUAAUGAACCUACGAGUUACUGUUUGUGGCAAGGUUAAUUGUUAUAAUCAAGACAAGGAGCCGAAGCGAAAGCGAGUCUUAAAAGGGCGCCCAUUUAGUCACGAGCAGUAGACGCGAAACCAAGUGAUCUACCCUUGGUCAGGUUGAAGGUUAGGUAACACUAACUGGAGGACCGAAUCGGUAAGCGUUGAAAAGCUUUCGAAUGAACUGAGGGUAGGGGUGAAAGGCUAAUCAAACUUGGAGAUAGCUCGUACUCCCCGAAAUGCAUUUAGGUGCAGCCUGUUGGAUGUUAUCAUGAGGUAGAGCGACUGAUUGGAUGCGAGGGUUUCACCGCCUAUCAAGUCCAGAUAAACUCCGAAUGCAUGAUAAUUGACCGAUGGAGUGAGGGCAUGGGUGCUAAGGUCCAUGUCCGAGAGGAGAAGAAUCCGGACCACCGGCUAAGGUCCCGAAAUAAUUGCUAAGUUGUAAAAACGAAGUCAAGAUGCAGAGACAGCUAGGAUGUUGGCUUGGAAGCAGCCAUUCAUUUAAAGAGUGCGUAACAGCUCACUAGUCGAGGAUUUUGGCAUGGAUAAUACACGGGCAUAAGCAAUUUACCGAAGCCGUGGGAUAUAAUAAUAUAUCGGUAGGGGAGCAUUCCAGCGACGUAGAAGGGAAAAGGGCGACUUUUUCUGGAGUUUCUGGAAAAGCAAAUGUAGGUAUAAGUAACGAUAAAGGGGGCGAGAACCCCCCUCGCCGAAAGACCAAGGAUUCCUGAUCAACGCUAAUCGGAUCAGGGUUAGUCGGGGCCUAAGGAUAAGCCGAAUGGCGAUUCCGAUGGAAGAACCGGUUAAUAUUCCGGUACUGAUACAGAGAGCGAUGUGGUGACGGAGAAGUGACAGUCCGGCCGUCUGACGGAAUAGGCGGUUAAAGGGUGUAGAUGUUGAUCGGGGUAGGCAAAUCCGCCCUGAGAGUCGAACCUGACAGUACCCGGAGUACAAGUACGAAGGGAUAAGGACGUAAACCGGCUCCCAAGAAAACCCGCUAAGCAUAUUUCUGUGUUACCCGUACCGUAAACCGACACAGGUGGUUGGGUUGAGUAUACUAAGGCGCUCGAGUGAUUCGCGGUUAAGGAACUAGGCAAAAUGGUCCUGUAACUUCGGGAGAAAGGACGCCUGUCUCCGGACAGGCCGCAGAAACCAGGCCCAGGCGACUGUUUAACAAAAACACAAGACUAUGCAAAAAAGCAAUUUGAGGUAUAUAGUCUGACACCUGCCCGGUGCUGGAAGGUUAAGAGGAGGAGUCAUCGUCAAGAGAAGCUCUGAAUUGAAGCCCCAGUAAACGGCGGCCGUAACUAUAACGGUCCUAAGGUAGCGAAAUUCCUUGUCGGGU
rnacentral:rRNA from 1 species